rnacentral:misc_RNA from 1 species
CCGCUGCGCCAGACGCCGGUAAUGACGUGCCCACCGCUGCGUUGCCCUCGCCCUCGCCCUCGCCCUCGCCCACCUGUCCACAGAUGGCGGUGACGCCGUAUCUCUGCGCAGCACGGACGAGUAUGGGAGGCGGGCUCGGCGACGGCCUGUCGGCUUCCUCUCCCCAGCACCUUCUCACGAACCCAUAGCGACCAUGCGGCCUCUUCCACUGGUGCGGAUCGAAAGCGUCGGAGAGGCCAAGCGCGAGAGCAAGGCCCACCCGCAGCCGUGACAGCAGAUCGGAAGCAGUUUGACAUAGCAAAAGAAAUAUCGAGGGCGCGGGAAGGGGGCAACCAUUGACACGUGUGCGACAGCUGAUACAGCCCCCCCCCCCCCCCCAAACACACACACACAGACACACACACUCGUGUCGCUCUGAGCCGCGCCACUGGUGGCGAGAUCGCUCGUUGUCGUUUCUCUCUCGGUACGAUGGUGCCCCCUUUACUGGUUUUGGGUGGUGUUGCGUUCGUUGCUGUGAAGUCCUUCGCCGCAGGGCUCGAUCUCUCUCCAUCGCACGCAGGUGCGGCGCGUUGGCGAGCCUGUCAAGCCAUCCCUAUCGGCCCCUGCUCUCUCCACUUACCGAUGCCAGUUGAUGCUGGAGGACGUGCCGGUCACCGACAGGGACGCACGUGGAGCGGCGUCCCCGCACGAAGCGGCGUGGCAGGAGGGGCAGAGAUGUCAGGGCCUUUGUCACACCACCGUGUCUAUUUGGCGCCCUUCCGCUUCUGCCACCGCUGGCGAGGUGUGGCGCGGGGGUGCGGGGCGCUCUUACGGGUAUUGCUGCCACAUGGUUCCCUCGGUGUAGCCUGCGGUAUCACAUCCGCCAUCUGCAGCGCUCUCUCCAUAUUACGUUCGUCAUGCUGGCUCGUCUUCGAGCCGUCCUCACUCGUUGAUAGCCCAUCAAGCACCGAUGCAUCCACACAACCGCACGCGCCGAGCGGCCACCACCAUCAUCACCAUCACCACGUGCGAAGAGAGGCAGGCGCCCGAGGCCCGCGCCAGCCGAGGCGAGGUCCAUUUCUCGUCACAGGGAGAAGACUAGGUCCGACCAGUGACGGACUGCGUCACACACACACGCACAUCCACAUGCAUACACAUGCGUGUUUGUAUACACGGCGUUGUACCUCCUGAAAGCAGACCGAGGCGCUAUCACGCCCUCUCCCGUAUAUCGCUGCACCGCUUCUCUCUCGCCUUCUCGACUGCGGCAGCGGCUUUCGCUGCGAAACCUGCGCGGCGCAGCACCUCUUUCUCUCACUCGGACCUUCGUCUACUUCUGUUUCUC